rnacentral:tRNA from 1 species
ACCUAGCUGGCUCAGUUGGUGGAGCAUGUGACUCUUGAUCUCAGGGUCAUGAGUUCAAGCCUCAUGUUGGAUG